CUGAGCGGGAUGGAGCUUUGGCCCCGCCGGAGACGCGCUCAGGGCUACAGAAUGUAACCAUUACACAUCAUAACAAUGACUGUACUAACUGCAAGACUGUUCACUUUGACUAUUGGAGCAUCUGCAAACAAAGAUUAAAGGAAUGAGAGUCUGUAGCAGACAAAAUAGGUGAACCAAAGGAAACACUAAAAGGAGUGAAUCAGCAAGAAAGGUACUGGCAGAAAAGCUCAAUAGUGAUGGAAAACAAAGGGAGAACAAAUGCAACAUAAAGGCAUAAGUGGAAAGACCAUGGCAUAGAAAAUAAGUGGUCAAGGCAGCGUCUUCUCCCUUCAAAAGACCCAACUGCUGAUGAGGUAGAAAUCGAAUGGUGUGGUCUCC